CAAUAGCGUAUAUUUAAGUUGUUGCAGUUAAAAAGCUCGUAGUCGGAUUUUGUCUGAGAACGAACGGUCCGCCGUUAGGUGUGCACUGUUUGGUCUCAGCUUCCUGGUGAGGAGGUGUGCUUCACGGCCACUUAGUCACCGUGGUUACUUUGAAAAAAUUAGAGUGUUCAAAGCGGGCUUACGCUUGAAUAUAUUAGCAUGGAAUAACACCAUAGGACUCCUGUCCUAUUUCGUUGGUCUCGGGACGGGAGUAAUGAUUAAGAGGAACAGUUGGGGGCAUUCGUAUUUCAUUGUCAGAGGUGAAAUUCUUGGAUUUAUGAAAGACGAACUUCUGCGAAAGCAUUUGCCAAGGAUGUUUUCAUUGA
rnacentral:rRNA from 1 species